AAAGAACUCACUUUUCGUAGUAGGUUAGCAGUCUAUCCAGAAAUGGAUCCUUCCUUUGAUGAGACAACAGAGAAACAUGCAUUUUCUCAUGUUGCUUUCUGAGCUGCAGUCAAUUUGAGGGACCCAUCAUCCCAUCACUUUAUAUCAUUUCCCAAGCUGAUGAAUUUUGUCAAAUGGUUUCCAUACUGUAUUUGAAUCCUUUUCCCAAUGUUUCACAUGUUUGGCCACUAUUGGCCUCAAUAGCUGUCUUGAGUCCUCAUUCUGUAUGUGGUGCAUUCUGGAGAGAUUCAUUGCUGUUCUUAAAAUUUUUAAACCACUGUUGUGUAUUGUCUGCUCAUUUACCACAUUAUUUUUACAUCAUUACUGAACGCCUGGCAUUUUUUCCCUCACUGCAUCAGCAUUCAUUUCCAGUUUAAACUUGCACAGCAUACAAGCCUGUAUAACACAGAAGUUCCCAUGUUUGAUCUGCUUUCACUGAUGCCCCCAUUUAACUAUAGUGAUUAUUACCAGCCAGCACCAAGAGGAAACAUUCACUACAUUUUAUCCUCUUCUUAUCC
rnacentral:lncRNA from 1 species